AGAGUUUGAUCAUGGCUCAGGACGAACGCUGGCGGCGCGCUUAACACAUGCAAGUCGAGCGAGAACCGGACCUUCGGGUCCGGGGAAAGCGGCGAACGGGUGAGUAACACGUGGGUAGCCCACCCUUGGUACCGGGAUAGCCCGAGGAAACUCGGAUUAAUACCGGAUGGCCCAACAGCUCUUCGGGGCGGUUGGAAAAGGUAGCUUCGGCCUCCGACCAAGGACGGGCCCGCGGCGGAUUAGCUUGUUGGUGAGGUAAUGGCUCACCAAGGCGACGAUCUGUAACUGGUCUGAGAGGAUGAUCAGUCACACUGGAACUGAGACACGGUCCAGACUCCUACGGGAGGCAGCAGUGGGGAAUAUUGGACAAUGGGCGCAAGCCUGAUCCAGCCAUGCCGCGUGUGUGAAGAAGGCCUUCGGGUUGUAAAGCACUUUCAGUGGGGAGGAAGGCUGUUUAUCUAAUACGUAAGCAGAUUGACGUUACCCACAGAAGAAGCACCGGCUAACUCCGUGCCAGCAGCCGCGGUAAUAC
rnacentral:rRNA from 1 species